CAUCAUUGAAGCCUGAACGGAAACCAAGAACACCUAAGCUACAUCCUGCUAAUGCUUCCGGUUCAGAUGCAUCAAAACGUGUAAUUGAUCCCAAAGGGAAGAACAAGUUGUGCAGGAUUGAUUCAAAAGUUCAUGGGCAUAAAGAAAUCAAAGAACACAAUUCUACGGACCAAACCGUAAUCUCAAAAUCAUGUUUGCAACAUGGAGGAAAGCAAUCAAAUAUUUCAGAAACAGUUGAGCUUGCAGAUCAUAUCGUAGAGUUUAGA